rnacentral:lncRNA from 1 species
UUAAUAGUAUUUAGCAAAACAAGAUAAAAAUGAUCCUUCUUUUCCUACGCAAGCAUGGUCAUUAUACACAUGAGAAGAAUGCUUAAUUUGUCCCAUCGUCUUCCAAAUAAUCAUCCCUGCUGAUUAUGCUGUAAUUUUUCAUUUUUUUGUGCCUACAUAGCACCCAAACAGUAUUGCAGCUAUGUUAAUACAUGUGAAAAAGUCACAUUCAUUUACACAGUCUGUAAUAUUUCUGAAAUGCAGUCUGAGUUGCUGCUAAAACUAGAAUUUUUCAGAUUCUUUCAAUUGUCUUCCAUGAGUAAUUCAAUACACAUGGAAGGGUAAAAAAGUAAACACUUUUAUGAUAAUCCAAAUUUUUCCAAUGGAAUUUUAAACAAUUUGACAGUUCAGUCUUGUUAAAAAGUGAUAUAAAAUAUAUGCUUCUUAGCAAACAAUUGUCCAGUAAAUAUUAUAAUUCUGUCUCAUAUUCUUGUACUGGAUUGUUUUCUGAGCCUUUCAAUAGAAUUCCUUCAAAUUAGAGCUCAAUGACCUUCUUUAUAUUUUAUCCAAGGUUCGAAAUACAUGAACCUGUCUGUACUUAUUUGAACAAUGGCCUCUAUUAUGGUGUCUUUUUCUUUAAAUCCAAAUAUUAUGCUCAGCAUUUUAGGAAUUCUCUAUUCCAAAUACAGGCAAUUAAAUUGUCUGUAAGUUACUCAGAGCCUUAGAAAAUGAAAUGAAACAAGAGUUCGUACUUUGAAAUGAGUUCAAAAAUGUAUACCAUUUGUCAAUGCUAGUUCCUUUCAAAUAGUCCUCAUUAUCUUCUGCUUCUGCUGUUAACAGAUGAAAUAAUCUGACACAGACUUCUCUAACAAAGCUGUUUCCUUCCUAGGAGAAGUUUGGCCUUUCUCAACAAUCAAGAAUCAAAUUCUUGACCUUGAAAAUGGGAGAGAGAACAGAAUGCUUCCUGAUGCCAUAGUAAGCUGAAUGAAACUUCAAACAGCCCCCAGGAUAAAUAGGGGGACACAUAUAAGCAUUUGUAUUGUUUCUGCCAACUUCUAGCACUAACUUGGAGCUGAUAGCCAGAGAGCCUCUACAGUAAGAGAUCACAAAUCUGGAACUUGGGAAACCCUGGAGGCAAUGCCCAAAGUCAGGGCUCAGAUGCAAGUUCACAUCAGCGUCCUGGCCUACAUUUGGUGUCAUGGCUCUGGAUUGAUACCAGAAAAAAUUAUCAGCAUCUUUUUCUGUUCAGUGUUCCUUCAAUCCACCAUUUUUGCACUGGUCUUGUAAUCUAGUGUUCCAAGAGUGUGGUUCUGUUUCUCUCUUAGAAACCUUGAUAUAACAAGGAAGGAAGCAAGUGUUUAUGAAAUCAGUUUAUAGGAAGAGAUGAAAGAAUGAUGGUCUCAUUUUGAGAUAUUUAAAUAUUAACCACAUGAAUCUAAUUGGUAGACUUUUAAAUAGUAUAGAGAAAGCUUUUGGGAGCUAGGAUUUCCUCUUAAAGCAAAGAGGAUAGGGUCACAUUUUUAUUUUUUCCUUAUUAUCAUUUUCUCCCUUUUCUCCCUGAACCACCUCACCUCCUUCCACAUCUCCUUCUUGGUUGUGGAUAAGGGAUGUCCAUUGGUGCUGCUGUAUUCCUCUUCCAUCACAUCCUCAUCUAGUGUCUGAAGUUCAGACUGUUCUGUCUUAACUUCAUUUUUCAGUAAUGGGCUGUAACAGGAGACCAGUUCUUCUUAAAUGUCUCAGAGGAACUAUAAAUUGCACAUCUGAAAAAUUCACUCCCUACACCCCGUAUCUUUUCCUUACCUGGAAAGUGAAAGUAGCUCAGUCCAUGGAAUUCUCUAGGCCAGACUACUGGAGUGGGUAGCCUUUCCC